rnacentral:rRNA from 1 species
AUACGGAGGGUGCAAGCGUUACUCGGAAUCACUGGGCGUAAAGGAUGCGUAGGCGGAUAAUCAAGUCAAAAGUGAAAUCCCACGGCUUAACCGUGGAACUGCUUUCGAAACUGGUUAUCUAGAAUAUGGAAGAGGCAGAUGGAAUUAGUGGUGUAGGGGUAAAAUCCGUAGAGAUCACUAGGAAUACCGAUUGCGAAGGCGAUCUGCUGGGACAUUAUUGACGCUCAGGCAUGAAAGCGUGGGGAGCAAACAGGAUUAGAAACCCUAGUAGUCC